rnacentral:lncRNA from 1 species
GUGGGGAACGACCAGAGCAGGAAGAAAAAGGGUAAAACCCUAAACUCCACAAAAUCUUCUAAUUGAAGGUGCAAUUGAAGACCAAACUCGGAUUUGAAUACAUAUAAACGAUCACCGAGCUAAGGGGAUCGUAAGCUGUACCUUAUAUGUUUGCGAAGUUGACUCUAAACAAGCUAGGUGGGAGCUUGGAAAGGAACGGGUCAAACGGAUCAUGGAUGCGAAGAAUGUUUGCGCGAACGCGAGGUAAGUAAAGCUUACACCCAUUUGUAGUAAACGUAUGUAUUUUAUAGAUGAUAAAUGUGACAACCGAUUACAUUCGAAAUUGAAGUUCCGACACUAAGCAAUAUGAGUCGGAACGAAUAAAAAUGAUCAAAACCAUGGUUAAUGGUAAAAUGGACAAAAGGGUAAUUUAGUCGUGGAUCGACUAAGAAUUUAUAAGAUUUCUUUAAGGUUACCUUAUAGCGAAACUAGUAAUGGGAAAAAGGGUAAAUUAGUCACAUGUUGACUAUAUGUAAGUUGGGAUUAAAAAGAAUACCCAUGGUGUAAGCCAUAACGAGUUAGAUACGUAAGAAGAAUGAUCUUGUAGUUAAAACUUGAAAUGGGUUGAAUGGGAUAUUAAAAGCCAUGAUUUGACAUAAGUAUAAAUGUUUGGUCAUAAAUACCAAAUGGGUCAAAUGGUGGUGAUGACACUAUUUGACAAUAUCGACUAAUGUUUGGUUGUUAAGUUAAAUGU